ACUGCUCCAUAACUGGGAGUGCGUAAAUAAAAUAUGUUCUAUGAUAUGCCUUAACAUGAAGGUAUACUUUUUUAUCAUAUCAUUUUUAUGGUUAAUUUCGUCCAAUGAUGUCUAAUGAUAUUUAUUAUCUUAUCCUCUGUAGGUAACUAAGGUUGCUCCUGCUCUAUGAUAUGCCUUAACAUGAAGGCGUUUGUUACCUUCAUUUGCUCUUUCUCUCUAUCCUUU
rnacentral:lncRNA from 1 species